rnacentral:rRNA from 1 species
GUGUCAGCAGCCGCGGUAAUACGUAGGGGGCGAGCGUUGUCCGGAUUCAUUGGGCGUAAAGAGCUCGUAGGCGGCUUGGCAAGCCGGGUGUGAAAACUCCAGGCUCAACCUGGAGACGCCACCCGGGACUGCUAUGGCUAGAGUCCGGUAGGGGAUCACGGAAUUCCUGGUGUAGCGGUGAAAUGCGCAGAUAUCAGGAGGAACACCGGUGGCGAAGGCGGUGAUCUGGGCCGGCACUGACGCUGAGGAGCGAAAGCGUGGGUAGCAAACAGGAUUAGAAACCCGCGUAGUCC